rnacentral:rRNA from 1 species
UACGUAGGCAGCGAGCGUUGUUCGGAAUUACUUGGGCGUAAAGAGUGUGUAGGCGGUGCUCCCAGUCUGUUGUGAAAUCUCCCGGCUUAACUGGGAGGGUGCAGCGGAAACUAGAGUGCUAGAGGGUGGGAGAGGUAAGCGGAAUUCCUGGUGUAGCGGUGAAAUGCGUAGAUAUCAGGAGGAACACCUGUGGUGUAGACAGCUUACUGGACCACUUCUGACGCUGAGACACGAAAGCGUGGGUAGCAAACAGG